GACGAACGCUGGCGGCGUGCUUAACACAUGCAAGUCGAACGGAAAGGCCCUGCUUUUGCUGGGUGCUCGAGUGGCGAACGGGUGAGUAACACGUGAGUAACCUGCCCUUGACUUUGGGAUAACUUCAGGAAACUGGGGCUAAUACCGGAUAGGAGCUCCUGCUGCAUGGGGGGGGUUGGAAAGUUUCGGCGGUUGGGGAUGGACUCGCGGCUUAUCAGCUGGUUGGUGGGGUAGUGGCUUACCAAGGCUUUGACGGGUAGCCGGCCUGAGGGGGUGACCGGCCACAUUGGGACUGAGAUACGGCCCAGACUCCUACGGGAGGCAGCAGUGGGGAAUAGUGCACAAUGGGCGGAAGCCUGAUGCAGCAACGCCGCGUGCGGGAUGACGGCCUUCGGGUUGUAGACCGCUUUCGCCUGUGACGAAGCGUGAGUGACGGUAAUGGGUAAAGAAGCACCGGCUAACUACGUG
rnacentral:rRNA from 1 species